ACAACAAGAAGAGAAAUAACAAUACUAAAGGAUCAAGCUGAAGUAAAGAUGAAAUAUCAAGUGGAAUGCUACUCAAGACUGAAGCUAGAGAUUUAUAUACUAGUUUUUAAUCUUUUUUUAAAAAAAUAAUUCUUUUAAAUUUUAA